rnacentral:rRNA from 1 species
CCUUCAUGAAGCCGGAAUUGCUAGUAAUGGCAGGUCAGCAUACUGCCGUGAAUACGUUCCCGGGCCUUGUACACACCGCCCGUCACACCAUGAGAGUUGGGGAUACCCGAAGCCUGUGAGCUAACUUUUAGAGGCAGCAGUCGAAGGUAGAAUCAAUGAUUGGGGUGAAGUCGUAACAAGGUAUC